rnacentral:rRNA from 1 species
CGACGUGAGCAAUCUACCCAUAUCUGGGGGAUAACAGUUGGAAACGACUGAUAAUACCGCAUAAUAUGGUUUGAAGGCAUCUUCGAACCAUCAAAGAUUUAUCGGAUAUGGAUGAGCUCGCGUCUGAUUAGCUAGUUGGUGAGGUAACGGCUCACCAAGGCGACGAUCAGUAGCCGACCUGAGAGGGUGAUCGGCCACAUUGGAACUGAGACACGGUCCAAACUCCUACGGAAGGCAGCAG